rnacentral:rRNA from 1 species
GAUGAACGCUGGCGGCGUGCUUAACACAUGCAAGUCGAACGAUAAAGCCCAGCUUGCUGGGUGGAUUAGUGGCGAACGGGUGAGUAACACGUGAGUAACCUGCCCUUGACUCUGGGAUAAGCCCGGGAAACUGGGUCUAAUACCGGAUAGGAGCGCCUGUCGCAUGACGGGUGUUGGAAAGAUUUUUCGGUCAUGGAUGGACUCGCGGCCUAUCAGCUUGUUGGUGAGGUAAUGGCUCACCAAGGCGACGACGGGUAGCCGGCCUGAGAGGGUGACCGGCCACACUGGGACUGAGACACGGCCCAGACUCCUACGGGAGGCAGCAGUGGGGAAUAUUGCACAAUGGGCGGAAGCCUGAUGCAGCGACGCCGCGUGAGGGAUGACGGCCUUCGGGUUGUAAACCUCUUUCAGUAGGGAAGAAGCGAAAGUGA